UCUGUCUCAAAAAAAAAAAAGAAAGAAAAGAAAAGCUGUCUAAGCAAAGCAAAAGGAUCAGUAGUAAAUGAGUACCUCAAAAAGUCAAAAGUUAUACUAAAUGUCAAACCAAGAGAGACUCACUCUGAGAGGGGGAAUCAAACCCAGGGUGUUGGGGUGAAAGCACAGAAUUUUAAUCAUUAGGCCACAAGGUGAACUAGCUUUAUUGUCAUUCCUGCAGGGGCAGCUAUUCUUGAGGGGGAGAAUACAAAGGAUCUUUAUCUUAUAAUUUAGAUUUUUGCUUUUAAAUUUUAUUAAGAGAAUUUUUCAGGCUAGCCAUGACACUAUUAUGUGCCUUUAAAAAAAAAUUGGAUAUUGGUACUUUGAGACAUGAGUCUGCUAACCUCCUCAUUUGCCAGCAAAUUGAUAAACUUCUCUUUCCUUCUUCUCAAACCACUUGUUCUUGUUCUUCUGAUGGGGCCUCAGGGACAAGUGCUGAAAUUUUAGUAACAGAAUUUGGUGUCUGUGGGUGGGGCCCAUAAAAGCCCUGGUGGAAUGGCACCCCAUGAUUGCUGGAAGAGGCAGGGAGCAGCCCUGGGUCAAAACCAUGAGUCUUCAUGGGUAGGAGCAAACUUCGUUUCAAGAUGAGAGAGAAUGGCCCCAGCAGCUGCCAGAGCCUGUUUUAGCUCCAGGAAAUUCUUGUCUCUGUCUCUCCAAACUAGACACAGCUCUCCACAACCUCAACUGAGUUGAGAAGAAGGAAAUGGAACUAGAAACAUCUGGACAGCCUCAGCCAUUUAUUUGAACUCUACAGCCAGCCUAGCAAGGCGCCAGGUGGAGCCACAGCCCGGGAGGCAGACCCUGCAGGAGGGAGAACUGCCACACACCUCCCGCCACUGCCGCCUUCUUGACACCAUGGGAGGGCCCAGGAGUGCACCGCCUGGACUAACGCUUCAGACUCACGCCCAGUAAAUUAUGACUCCGGUUCGGCAUGGUCUCCCCGAAGCAAACUCAAUUUGGGCCAGUGGCAACCCAUAGCCAGGCAGGCAAUUUACGACAAUAUCAGAUAGGGAGGCUUCAAUGUGCAAAAACAGCUAAAGGGUCUUUUGAGACAGUCAAAGGGAGUGGGCAAAAAAGCUGUCCCCGACUGAUUUUUUGUAAAAAAAAAAAAAAAAAAAGAGGGACCUUGAAAGGAACAUUGCCCAAAAUUGUAAAAGACUCCCAGUGACAGGAAGCUCCCAGGAAAGUAAAUCAUUUUUUUUUAAAGUCCAAGACUCAGAGAGUAAAGGAGAGAGGGCCAGAAGCCCCUGCCUUCAAAUAGCCCCUCGGGAGCCCUGGGCAAAAUAGACAGUGGGGAUUCAAUUGACACUAGCCAUGUAGACAGAAGUGGUUUGGGGGGGGUCCCUUCCCCCGGACCACUACGCCAAUCCCUGCACCAGCAGCAAGCCAGGUAGGGGGUGGCGGGGGAGGAGACAGGUGGCAGUGGGGCAGCUGCAGACAAGGGGUGGCUGAGAAAUUUGUGGCGGUGGGCCCAGGAUGCAGACCUGGGCGAGCAGCAGGAGCACCAGGGGUUGCUUCAGAAGCGACAGAAACUCACCUCCAGGGGCGCCCCACCAAGCUCCUGCUGGAUGAAUGCCAGGGACAGGUGAAGUACACAGGAAACUGCCCCAUUGCUCUUUGACGUCCGGGCUUCCGCAAGCCUGCACAUCAUUGAGUCCAAGGAAGGAGGCCGAGCAGGUAGAGAAUGGCGUGCUCGUGAUGGUCGCUGUAGACAGACAGCUACAGAGACGGCUCAGCAGCUCCUUCUCCUCCAGCAAGGACGUCAGCAGGCACCCCAUUGUCAACAGGACCCCGGAGUACACUCCAAGGAGCCCUGGACUUUUCACAGGAGUGAUAAUGGACCCUCCUUUGUAGCAGAGGGAAAGGAAGUUGGGAGAAAGAAGAAGACCAAGUGCGUUGACGAGUCCAACUAACCGUGUGCGUGUAUUGUAUGCCCCACCUUGCCCACGUCUCUUCCCUACCAUGUUCAAGGCUCAUCAGCUUGGACAGAGUACAAAUUUAGGAUGAAUGCUACUUUGUGUUGCUCCUUCCAUUUUAAACAGUUAUCAUAAAGAAGUAGUACAUUUCUCUGAUUCUUUGUUUGCCGGUUGGCCUUGUUGACCCACUUCCCCAAAUGCGUAAUGCUUUUUAUUUUGAAAUUUUCCCCUUGACUAAGCAAAGCAUGCAGUGUCUAGUUACACUUCCUCUUCAAUGUGGGAAAGCUUAUUUUUCUCAUUUGUGGAACUCAAAAAGCCAAUACUCAACUGCCAUAAGAAAAAAUAAAUUACUGAGUUCGCUAUCCUAGAGUGUGGAGAUGGAUCAUUUCAAAUCAUUAUCAAGCAUUUCUUUCUGAGACUGCACAACGUUCAGUUUUGCAAUUAAGCACAAAGCAACAUCUUUUUAUUUUUUUUUGAGACAGAGUCUCACUCUGUUGCC